rnacentral:rRNA from 1 species
UACGUAGGGUGCAAGCGUUACUCGGAAUUACUGGGCGUAAAGCGUGCGCAGGCGGUUUUGUAAGUCUGACGUGAAAUCCCCGGGCUCAACCUGGGAAUUGCGUUGGAGACUGCAAGGCUGGAGUCUGGCAGAGGGGGGUAGAAUUCCACGUGUAGCAGUGAAAUGCGUAGAGAUGUGGAGGAACACCGAUGGCGAAGGCAGCCCCCUGGGUCAAGACUGACGCUCAUGCACGAAAGCGUGGGGAGCAAACAGG